GACGAACCGAGCGAACGUUGUUCGGAAUCACUGGGCUUAAAGGGCGCGUAGGCGGGCUGUCAAGUCUGGGGUGAAAUCCCGCGGCUCAACCGUGGAACUGCCUUAGAUACUGACGGCCUCGAGGGAGAUAGGGGCGAGCGGAACUGUGAGUGGAGCGGUGAAAUGCGUUGAUAUUCACAGGAACUCCGGUGGCGAAGGCGGCUCGCUGGAUCUCUUCUGACGCUGAGGCGCGAAAGCUAGGGGGAGCAAACGGG
rnacentral:rRNA from 1 species